UCCGUAGGUGAACCUGCGGAGGGAUCAUUACUGAGUUACCGCUCUAUAACCCUUUGUGAACAUACCUAACCGUUGCUUCGGCGGGCAGGGGAAGCCUCUCGCGGGCCUCCCCUCCCGGCGCCGGCCCCACCACGGGGACGGGGCGCCCGCCGGAGGAAACCAAACUCUAUUUACACGACGUCUCUUCUGAGUGGCACAAGCAAAUAAUUAAAACUUUUAACAACGGAUCUCUUGGUUCUGGCAUCGAUGAAGAACGCAGCGAAAUGCGAUAAGUAAUGUGAAUUGCAGAAUUCAGUGAAUCAUCGAAUCUUUGAACGCACAUUGCGCUCGCCAGCAUUCUGGCGAGCAUGCCUGUUCGAGCGUCAUUUCAACCCUCAAGCACCGCUUGGUUUUGGGGCCCCACGGCACACGUGGGCCCUUAAAGGUAGUGGCGGACCCUCCCGGAGCCUCCUUUGCGUAGUAACUAACGUCUCGCACUGGGAUCCGGAGGGACUCUUGCCGUAAAACCCCCCAAUUUUUUACAGGUUGACCUCGGAUCAGGUAGGAAUACCCGCUGAACUUAAGCAUAUCAAUAAGCGGAGGA
rnacentral:rRNA from 1 species